CCCAGACUCCUACGGGAGGCAGCAGUGGGGAAUAUUGCACAAUGGGGGAAACCCUGAUGCAGCGACGCCGCGUGAGUGGAGAAGUAUUUCGGUAUGUAAAGCUCUAUCAGCAGGGAAGAAAAUGACGGUACCUGACCAAGAAGCCCCGGCUAACUACGUGCCAGCAGCCGCGGUAAUACGUAGGGGGCAAGCGUUAUCCGGAUUUACUGGGUGUAAAGGGAGCGUAGACGGUGAUGCAAGUCAGAAGUGAAAGCCCGGGGCUCAACUCCGGGACUGCUUUUGAAACUGUGUAACUGGAGUGCAGGAGAGGUAAGCGGAAUUCCUAGUGUAGCGGUGAAAUGCGUAGAUAUUAGGAGGAACACCAGUGGCGAAGGCGGCUUACUGGACUGUAACUGACGUUGAGGCUCGAAAGCGUGGGGAGCAAACAGGAUUAGAUACCCUGGUA
rnacentral:rRNA from 1 species